rnacentral:rRNA from 1 species
GACGAACGCUGGCGGCGUGCUUAACACAUGCAAGUCGAACGGAAAGGCCCCUUUGGGGGUACUCGAGUGGCGAACGGGUGAGUAACACGUGAGUAACCUGCCCUUGACUUCGGGAUAACUUCAGGAAACUGGGGCUAAUACCGGAUAGGAAUCCUUGCUGCAUGGUGGGGGUUGGAAAGCUUCGGCGGUUUUGGAUGGACUCGCGGCUUAUCAGCUUGUUGGUGGGGUAGUGGCUUACCAAGGCUUUGACGGGUAGCCGGCCUGAGGGGGCGACCGGCCACAUUGGGACUGAGAUACGGCCCAGACUCCUACGGGAGGCAGCAGUGGGGAAUAUUGCACAAUGGGCGGAAGCCUGAUGCAGCAACGCCGCGUGCGGGAUGACGGCCUUCGGGUUGUAAACCGCUUUCAGCAGGGGCGAAGCUUUUGUGACGGUACCUGCAGAAGAAGCACCGGCUAACUACGUG